GAGGGGCAUCAGGAAGAAAGCUUGCUUUCUUUGCUGGCGACCGGCGCACGGGUGAGUAACACGUAUCCAACCUGCCCUUUACUCGGGGAUAGCCUUUCGAAAGAAAGAUUAAUACCCGAUGGGAUAAUCAUUCCGCAUGGUUUGAUUAUUAAAGGAUUCCGGUAAAGGAUGGGGAUGCGUUCCAUUAGGUUGUUGGUGAGGUAACGGCCCACCAAGCCUUCGAUGGAUAGGGGUUCUGAGAGGAAGGUCCCCCACAUUGGAACUGAGACACGGUCCAAACUCCUACGGGAGGCAGCAGUGAGGAAUAUUGGUCAAUGGGCGCGAGCCUGAACCAGCCAAGUAGCGUGAAGGAUGACUGCCCUAUGGGUUGUAAACUUCUUUUAUAUUAGAAUAAAGUGCAGUAUGUAUACUGUUUUGUAUGUACAAUAUGAAUAAGGAUCGGCUAACUCCGUGCCAGCAGCCGCGGUAAUACGGAGGAUCCGAGCGUUAUCCGGAUUUAUUGGGUUUAAAGGGAGCGUAGGUGGACUGGUAAGUCAGUUGUGAAAGUUUGCGGCUCAACCGUAAAAUUGCAGUUGAUACUGUCAGUCUUGAGUACAGUAGAGGUGGGCGGAAUUCGUGGUGUAGCGGUGAAAUGCUUAGAUAUCACGAAGACUCCGAUUGCGAAGGCAGCUCACUGGACUGCAACUGACACUGAUGCUCGAA
rnacentral:rRNA from 1 species